rnacentral:misc_RNA from 1 species
ACCGCCGAUUUAAAUAAGGCGCUAUUUACGGGCAAAACUCGUAGUCAGGACGCUCCCGAAUCAAUUAAGCCCUGAUGUACCGUUAGUUUUGUGAAGCCUAGUAUCCACGAGGAGGGCCAAAUAUGGCAAAGAAAGCAGCUACCCCAGCGACCGUCACCCUGAAGCACCUUGCCGCCGCUCUUUGCCGCCGCUCUCGCCGAAGAGCACGAGUUGUCGAAGAAGACCGCUGAAACCAUCCUCGGCGAUCUGGUCACCAAGAUCACCAAGCACCUCAAGAAGGGCGAGCGUAUCCGCAUCGUCGGCCUCGGCAUCCUCCAGGUCCGCAAGCGCGCCGCCCGCAUGGGCCGCAA